GCGCCAGUAACUCAGUUGGUAGAGUAACCGCCUUUUAAGCGGUAAGUCACGGGUUCGAGUCCCGUCUGGCGCACCA
rnacentral:tRNA from 1 species